CACCAAGGAUAUUAUAUUUAUUGAGUUUCAUUUCUUUAUGUGCUUAUUCUUAUAUUUUGCAGUUUCAAGAGAGAGAGCUUUCAAGAUUUGUUUUGUCUCUUUACUGUAAUAAUUAUAAGAGCAAGUGGCCAUGAUGCUAGGCUCUGCAGCACCAGUGAUAUUAUGUGUACAUACUAAACUUAUUUAUCUAGUUCUCUGAGGUCAGCACAUACUCUCCCUGGUCUUGUCAUUAUCCUCUGAGGUCAGCACACUCACCCUGGUCUUGUCAUUAUCCUCUGAGGUCAGCACACACUCACCCUUCCCAAGAGGUCAGCACACUCACCCUGGUCUUGUCAUUAUCCUCUGAGGUCAGCACACACUCACCCUUCCCAAGAGGUCAGCACACUCUCCCUGAUCUUGUCAUUAUCCUCUGAGGUCAGCACACUCACCCUGGUCUUGUCAUUGUCCUCUGAGGUCAGCACACUCACCCUGGUCUUGUCAUUGUCCUCUGAGGUCAGCACACUCACCCUGGUCUUGUCAUUGUCCUCUGAGGUCAGCACACUCACCCUGGUCUUGUCAUUGUCCUCUGAGGUCAGCACACACUCACCCUUCCCAAGAGGUCAGCACACUCACCCUUAUCUAUGAAUCUAUGAAUGCUUAUCUAUCACCCUGGCCUUGUCAUGGUCCUCUUAGGUCAGCACUCACUCACCCUGUCCCUUCCAUGGUCUUAAGAGGUCAGC